rnacentral:rRNA from 1 species
AAGUCGAACGGGGUAGCAAUACCUAGUGGCAGACGGGUGAGUAACAUGUGGGUACCUUCCCUUUGGUGAGGAAUAACACGAGGAAACUUGUGCUAAUACCUCAUAAGUCUUUACGGAGAAAGCUUUAUGCGCCAAUGGAUGGGCCCGCACUUGAUUAGUUAGUUGGUAGGGUAAUGGCCUACCAAGACUUUGAUCAAUAGCUGAUUUGAGAGGAUGAUCAGCCACAUUGGGACUGAGACACGGCCCAAACUCCUACGGGAGGCAGCAGUAGGGAAUCUUGCACAAUGGAGGAAACUCUGAUGCAGCGAUGCCGCGUGAGUGAAGAAGGCCCUUGGGUUGUAAAGCUCUUUCGUCGGGGAAGAAAAUGACUGUACCCGAAUAAGAAGGUCCGGCUAACUUCGUGCCAGCAGCCGCGGUAAUACGAAGGGACCUAGCGUAGUUCGGAAUUACUGGGCUUAAAGAGUUCGUAGGUGGUUAAAAAAGUUGGUGGUGAAAUCCCAGAGCUUAACUCUGGAACUGCCAUCAAAACUUUUUAGCUAGAGUAUGAUAGAGGAAAGCAGAAUUUCUAGUGUAGAGGUGAAAUUCGUAGAUAUUAGAAAGAAUACCAAUUGCGAAGGCAGCUUUCUGGAUCAUUACUGACGCUGAGGAACGAAAGCAUGGGUAGCGAAGA